rnacentral:tRNA from 1 species
GCCGUUGUAGCUCAGUUGGUAGAGCGAGGCACUCGUAAUGCCUAGGUCAUCGGUUCGAAUCCGAUCAACGGCU